rnacentral:tRNA from 1 species
ACUUAAAUAGCUUAUUUAGAGCAUAAUAUUGAAGAUAUUAAGGAAAUCCUAGAUUUUUGAGUA